rnacentral:rRNA from 1 species
UACGGGGGGGGGCAAGCGUUGUUCGGAAUUACUGGGCGUAAAGGGCUUGUAGGUGGCCAACUAAGUCAGACGUGAAAUCCCUCGGCUUAACCGGGGAACUGCGUCUGAUACUGGAUGGCUUGAGUGUGGGAGAGGGAUGCGGAAUUCCAGGUGUAGCGGUGAAAUGCGUAGAUAUCUGGAGGAACACCGGUGGCGAAGGCGGCAUCCUGGACCAUUACUGACACUGAGAAGCGAAAGCCAGGGGGAGCAAACGGG